rnacentral:rRNA from 1 species
UGCGUAGGCGGCCUUGUAAGUCAGAUGUGAAAGGCAUCGGCUCAACCGAUGUAAGCAUUUGAAACUGCAAGGCUUGAGUGCAGGAGAGGAGAGUGGAAUUUCUAGUGUAGCGGUGAAAUGCGUAGAUAUUAGAAGGAACACCAGUGGCGAAGGCGACUCUCUGGACUGCAACUGACGCUGAGGCACGAAAGCGUGGGGAGCAAACA